rnacentral:lncRNA from 1 species
GGCUUUGUACUCGCCACAGAGAAACCAGACUUGCCUGAAAGCGACAACACAAUUGACGUGUGCCCGCCCAUGGACGACGUGAUCAACGACCUCCGCUCUGCUGGGGUUUCCAUACCCACGGAAAUAACUUUUGAACAGUUUGAUGAAACUGACAACGAGCUCGACUUCUGCGCAGAACUGACUGAUGAGGGAAUAGUCCGUUGUGGGGGAUUCAGAAGACUCCGAUGUUGAAAAUGAGGAGCCAAUGCCUGCGCCGCCUACAAGCGCCGAGUUGACGCAAGCACUGUUGGCUCUUUCAUCAGUGUACAGUGCUGACAUGACCCUUGCUCGGAUCGAGGCGAAUAUGAUCGCAUGCAACCAGAACGCCGUCCAAACAACAAUCAACAAGUUUUUCAAGCCACUGCAGCAAUAACACUGGCUGCCCGACGAUGCACAUGUACAUAAUAAACCGGCAGUCGGCUGCAUACAGAGUU